AACAAAAAAAAAAAUGAUGUGAAAAAUUGAGUUACCGACAUAAACAAGAAAUACUACAACUGCUUUGCAAUUACGUAGACGCAGCGGCACAAUGAAAAAAAUAAAACACGAACAAUGCACACUGCGCAGCCGCAACGACAGCAGCAAAGUUCGAGCAACAAAUAAAGAAGAGAUAAAGCAGCAAUGAUCAUGGAAUUAGCAACAGUAGCCGUAGCCAAUAUUGGCAACACUCAGCUGUGGACUUGUACUUCGCGCCAGGCAGAGACUCUGAGGUAGCAGCUGUGGUCGUACGGGCAAAGUUGGUGACUCUGUCGCUGCUGGUAAUUGUGGACGCCAGUUUGUGGCCAUUGUAUUGGCGCGGUAUUGGUGGUAGUGGCUUUUGCGCUAUCCGCACAGAGACAGGCCUCGUUGUUAUGACUUCAUGAGCUCGUAAGCACAACCAGUUACGAUUCAACUUUCAUUCCGUGCUGACGUAUCCGGGCGUGUUGAGUAUGCGCAGCGAGCGCUUUGAGUGUUAACCGAUGUCGGUAAUGAUUCUGUAAAUGGCCAGCAAACAAGGAAUCAGCGGGUACUUAGAAAUGUAACAGCAAGCGAAGUGAAAAAAUUUAUGAAAAAAAGUAAAACAAUAAUUUUUGUAAAAAAAAAAACAAAAAAUAAACAAAAUAAAAUACAAGUUAGUAAAAUUAAUUACGCGCCCGAUCACACACGAGCAUUUCAAUUUAGCUGGUGAAUGUCUAAAAAUGUUUAGGCGAGCGCCAAAAGCAACAGCCCAGCCAACGUUGCUCACAUAAUCGUCGACGGCAACUAAAAUUUGAGUUAACCAAGAAAUGGGAAAACACAAACAAAACAACAAACAAACGAAAAUAACGAUUGUAAUUGUAUUUAAUAGCGGCAAGUGAUUUACCAACGAAACGUGCAGACCAGCUGUAUAACCGAAAGCCUAAAAUUCAAAAAGAAAAAAAAAACACAGCAACUGCACCGAGUGUUGUCCACAAGCGCGGCACGCAAAAAA